UAUUGAAAAAUUCAUCCAUUUGUAUUGUCAAAAACUAACGUGGUUGAUGGAAUAAACAAACAGUGGCACAUGAGAUGCAAUAUGUACCUCAUGCUAAUGUAUAUUGACCAAUUUUUAAUAGUAGAAAUAGAUGCAAUUUUUAAUA
rfam:Gossypium raimondii Chr08_contig_68, whole genome shotgun sequence.